AUGUCUAAGGGACCUGCAUAGGCAUUGAUUUUGACACUAUCUACUCCUAUGUGGGUGUCUUCCAGUAUGAAAAGGUGGAGAUAAUUGCUAAAGAUCAGGGGAACAGAGCCACACCAAGCAAUGUUGCCUUUUCUGACAAAUGAUUGAUCAGAGAUGCUGCAAAAAGUCAGCUUGUAAUGAACCCUAUCAACAUAGUUUUUGAUGACGAACCUCUAAUUGAAUAUAGAGUUGAUGAUGCUGUUGUCCAGUCAGAUACAAAGUAUUGGCCUUUCAUGGUGGUGAAUGAUGCAGGCAGGAGCCCAGUUCAAGUAGAGUACAAAGGGGAGACCAAAAGUUUCUACCCAAAUGAGGUACCACUUUGGUUCUAACAAAGAUGAAGGAAAUUGCAGAAGCCUAUCUUCGGAAGACUGUUACCAAUUCUGUGGUCAUAGUGUCAGCUUACUUUAACGACUUUAAGCAUCAGGCAACAAAAGAUGCUGGAACCAUUGCUGGUCUCAAUGUGCUUUGAAUUAUCAAUGAGCCAACUGCUGCUGCUAUUGUUUAUGGCUUAGACAAGAAGGUUGGUGCUGAAAGGAAUGUGCUGAUUUUUUAUUUAGGAGGUGGCACUUUUGAUGUGGCAAUCCUCAUUACUGAGGAUGGGAUCUUUGAGGUCAAAUCUACAGCUGGAGAUACCCAUUUAGUUAGAGAAGACUUUGACAACUGAGUGGUCAGCCAUUUCACUGCUGAGUUCAAAUGCAAGCAUAAGAAGAACAUCAAUGAGAACAAGAGAGCUGUCUGUCAUCCACCUACUGCUUGUGAGUGAGCUAAGCAUACCCUCUCUUCCAGCACCCAGGCCAGCAUCGAGAUUGAUUCUCUCUAUGAAAGAAUCAAUUUCUACACCUCCAUCACCUGUGCUGGGUUUGAAGAGCUGAAUGCUGACCUGUUCAUGGCACUCUGGACCCUAUAGAAAAAACUCUUCAAGAUGCCAAACUGGAUAAGUCACAGAUCUUGGUGGGCGAUUCUACCUGAAUCCCCAAGAUUCAGAAGCUUCUGCAAGAUUUCUUCAAUGGAAAAGAGCUAAAUAAGGGCAUCAACCCUGAUGAAGCUGUUGCUUAUGGUGCACCCAUCCAGGCAGCCAUCCUAUCUGGAGACAAGUCUGAAAAUGUUCAAGAUUUCCUGCUCUUUGAUGUCACUUCUCUUUCCCUGGGUAUAGAAAUUGCUGGUAGUGUCAUGACUGUCCUCAUAAAGCACAGCACUAUCAUUUCUACCCAGCAGACACAGCACAGCCCUGCACCACCUACUCUGAUAACCAGUCCAGUGUGCUCAUUCAGGUGUAUGAAGAUGAGCAAGUCAUGACCAAAGACAAACACCUUCUUGGCAAGUUUGAACUCAUAGGCCUGUACCCCAUGGUGUUCUUCAGAUUGAAGUCACUUUUGAUACUGAUGCCAAUGGCAUCCUUAAUGUUUUUGCUGUGGAUAAGAGUACAGGAAAAGAGAACAAGAUUACCAUCACCAAUGACAAAGGCUGCUUUAGCAAGAAGGACAUUGACCAGAUGGUCCAGGAAGCAGAGAAGUACAAAGGGAAGAUGAGAAGGAAAGAGACAAGGUGUCAUCCAAGAAUUUGCUGGAGUGCUAUGCAUUCAAUAUGAAAGCAACUGUUGCGGUUGAGAAACUUCAGGGCAAGAUCAAAGAUGAAGAUAAACAGAAAAUUCUGGACAAGGAUAAUGAGAUCAUCAAUUGGUUGGAUAAAAAUCAGACUGAAAAGAAGGAAGAGUUUGAACAUCAACAGAAAGAACUGGAGAAAGUCUGCAACCCCAUCAUUACCAAGAUGCACCAGAGCGCAGGAGGCAUGUCAGGAGGAAUGAUUGGGGGCUUCCCUGGUGGGGGAGCUCCUCCCUCUGGUGGGGCUUCCUGUGGGCCCACCAUUGAAAAGGUUGAUUAA